rnacentral:rRNA from 1 species
AGAGUUUGAUCCUGGCUCAGAUUGAACGCUGGCGGCAGGCUUAACACAUGCAAGUCGAACGAUGACUCUCUAGCUUGCUAGAGAAGAUUAGUGGCGGACGGGUGAGUAACAUUUAGGAAUCUGCCUAGUAGUGGGGGAUAGCUCGGGAAAACUCGAAUUAAUACCGCAUACGACCUACGGGUGAAAGGAGGCGCAAGCUCUUGCUAUUAGAUGAGCCUAAAUCAGAUUAGCUAGUUGGUGGGGUAAAGGCCUACCAAGGCGACGAUCUGUAACUGGUCCGAGAGGAUGAUCAGUCACACCGGAACUGAGACACGGUCCGGACUCCUACGGGAGGCAGCAGAAGGGCGAAUU